GGGAAGGUGGCUCAGUGGUAGAGCGCUUGCCUUGCAUGCAUGAAGCCCCCCCCCCCA
rnacentral:tRNA from 1 species